AAAACAACGGACCUUAGUCAAACUGUGACAACAAAGUCAUGUUAAGACAUUUGGUACUCAUUUUUAAAACUCACCUCCUUUAGUUCAGGGUCAACCUUUGUGAAUUUUUCGUCAGUAAAUUCGAGUUCUGCCAUGAUGUUUUUUCAAAGUAAUCAAUUACAAUUAUGAAUAGUUCUAUACUUUGAUCUUUACCCGCAUAUAUAUAUCAAUUUCGUUUGAGUAAUCGGGUGUUUCUGUGAGAAUGACAAUUACGUAACUUCCGCAUUCUCGUCAAUCACAAUACUGUUGUUUUUCACGAAUGCAUUCGGUAUCAGCUCAAGGAAUUACGUUUUUCACUUUUUUUAUUUACUCAUACCCGUGACUGACGUUCACUCUGAUACUAAAAGUUGGUUUAAAUCGGGAACCUUAGAAUCCUCGGCUUGUUUCAAAAUUUCAGCGCUCCUUGCACGGGCCGCUCAGCUUGCUUGUCAGGUCAUCGCAUGGCCGCUUCUAGAGGAUUUUGUACAGAAAUUCAGCACAACUUCUUUUUGUUUAGUAUGAAGUGUUUGUUUCUGUUGUAUUAAAUAAAAAUUUAGUUCAUUGAGCCUGUGCUUUCACGAGAAAAAUAUCGCUUGAAAGUUCGGUUUUCGAGUCCAAUAUUUUGGAGGUAUUGCCUAUAAGAGCAACCAGAUUAUCAGAGUAUAAAAUUGAUGAAUUAAUUUUUAUUUAAUCGUACACAAUUAUGUGUCAAACCAUGUAAAUAAGAGAUCCCGCACAUGUUUUCGGCUAAGGAACCCGCAUAUUCACCCGCACCCUUCCUUGUCCCAUUGGCUCUAUAAAGCAGUACUAAGCGAGUAUGAUCGGCAGUGAAACACUGCCUACAGGAAGAACCAAAUGUGCGAAAAUAAUGUAAGUAUGAAGUGCUACAGCUACUACAAUAUUAGUUUGUGGAAGUAGGCGAUUGUAAAGAGUAAAGAUGAAUAGUUUAAUUAUUAUUAUUAUUAUUAUUUUUUAAAAAAACUAUUGAAU